UACGUAGGUGGCAAGCGUUGUCCGGAUUUACUGGGCGUAAAGCGUGCGCAGGCGGUUCGUUGUGUCGGCGGUGAAAGCCCCGGGCUUAACCUGGGAAUGGCCGUUGAAACUGGCGAACUGGAGUGUGGCAGAGGGGGGUGGAAUUCCGCGUGUAGCAGUGAAAUGCGUAGAGAUGCGGAGGAACACCGAUGGCGAAGGCAGCCCCCUGGGCUAACACUGACGCUCAGGCACGAAAGCGUGGGGAGCAAACAGG
rnacentral:rRNA from 1 species